AGCAUCAUUUGCUUGGCAACAUUAUAAUUGUGUGCAAUGGCAUGCAAAUCAAUGACGGACUUUGCACCUCUCAUGGUUAAUUUAAAUGAAUCAAGAUAGAAAUUUGUAUAGCAAGGGACGUUAUCGAGUUAUUUCGUGAACCGUUGACAAUUGAAUCUAUGCUUUAAAUAUCCCCAUUCAAGAAGCGCUAUCGGAAUUGAAGCCUCCCAGUUGAUUUAUUUAAGCGAAUUUACUACAGCAUUUCCAUAUUUUUGCUAUCCUCACCGUGCAUUUCCAGCUGCAAUCUUCAUC